UGGGGCGUCGCCAAGUGGUAAGGCAGCGGGUUUUGGUCUCGCCAUCCCUGGGUUCGAAUCCUAGCGCCCCAG
rnacentral:tRNA from 12 species